rnacentral:rRNA from 1 species
AUUGAACGCUGGCGGCAGGCUUAACACAUGCAAGUCGAGCGGAGAUGAGGUGCUUGCACCUUAUCUUAGCGGCGGACGGGUGAGUAAUGAUUAGGAAUCUGCCUAUUAGUGGGGGACAACAUUCCGAAAGGAAUGCUAAUACCGCAUACGUCCUACGGGAGAAAGCAGGGGAUCUUCGGACCUCGCGCUAAUAGAUGAGCCUAAGUCGGAUUAGCUAGUUGGUGGGGUAAAGGCCUACCAAGGCGACGAUCUGUAGCGGGUCUGAGAGGAUGAUCCGCCACACUGGGACUGAGACACGGCCCAGACUCCUACGGGAGGCAGCAGUGGGGAAUAUUGGACAAUGGGGGGAACCCUGAUCCAGCCAUGCCGCGUGUGUGAAGAAGGCCUUAUGGUUGUAAAGCACUUUAAGCGAGGAGGAGGCUACUGAGACUAAUACUCUUGGAUAGUGGACGUUACUCGCAGAAUAAGCACCGGCUAACUCUGUGCCAGCCGCCGCCGUAAUAC